rnacentral:rRNA from 1 species
AUUGAACGCUGGCGGCAUGCCUUACACAUGCAAGUCGAACGGUAACGCGGGGCAACCUGGCGACGAGUGGCGAACGGGUGAGUAAUACAUCGGAACGUGCCCAGUAGUGGGGGAUAGCCCGGCGAAAGCCGGAUUAAUACCGCAUACGACCUACGGGUGAAAGCGGGGGAUCGCAAGACCUCGCGCUAUUGGAGCGGCCGAUGUCAGAUUAGCUAGUUGGUGGGGUAAAGGCCUACCAAGGCGACGAUCUGUAGCUGGUCUGAGAGGACGACCAGCCACACUGGGACUGAGACACGGCCCAGACUCCUACGGGAGGCAGCAGUGGGGAAUUUUGGACAAUGGGGGCAACCCUGAUCCAGCCAUGCCGGGUGCGGGAAGAAGGCCUUCGGGUUGUAAACUGCUUUUGUCGGGGAAGAAACGGUCUGCGCUAAUACCGCGGGCUAAUGACGGUACCCGAAGAAUAAGCACCGGCUAACUACGUGCCAGCCGCCGCAGUAACAC